GAUGAAGAACGUAGCGAAAUGCGAUAACUAAUGUGAAUUGCAGAAUUCAGUGAAUCAUCGAGUCUUUGAACGCACAUUGCGCCCCCUCGUAUUCCGGGGGGCAUGCCUGUCCGAGCGUCAUUGCUGCCCUCAAGCACGGCUUGUGUGUUGGGCUCCGUCCCCCCGGGGACGGGCCCGAAAGGCAGCGGCGGCACCGAGUCCGGUCCUCGAGCGUAUGGGGCUUUGUCACCCGCUCUGUAGGCCCGGCCGGCGCCAGCCGACAACCCAUCAUCCUUUUCAGGUUGACCUCGGAUCAGGUAGGGAUACCCGCUGAACUUAAGCAUAUCAAUAAGCGGAGGA
rnacentral:misc_RNA from 1 species